GACGAACGCUGGCGGCGUGCUUAACACAUGCAAGUCGAACGGUAAGGCCCUUCGGGGUACACGAGUGGCGAACGGGUGAGUAACACGUGGGUGAUCUGCCCUGCACUUCGGGAUAAGACUGGGAGACUGGGCCUAAUACCGGAUAGGACCACUGCCUGCAUGGGUGGUGGUGGAAAGCUUUUGCGGUGUGGGAUGGGCCCGCGGCCUAUCAGCUUGUUGGUGGGGUGAUGGCCUACCAAGGCGACGACGGGUAGCCGGCCUGAGAGGGUGACCGGCCACACUGGGACUGAGAUACGGCCCAGACUCCUACGGGAGGCAGCAGUGGGGAAUAUUGCACAAUGGGCGCAAGCCUGAUGCAGCGACGCCGCGUGAGGGAUGACGGCCUUCGGGUUGUAAACCUCUUUCAGCACCGACGAAGCGCAAGUGACGGUAGGUGCAGAAGAAGGACUGGCCAACUACGUGCCAGCAGCCGCGGUAA
rnacentral:rRNA from 1 species